CGGUAUAUAGGAUAAUGCGCUGUACACGUAUUAUAGGUUACGAUAUAAUAUAGCACGUAUAUAGGAUAUAUAUACGGAUUGACACAAUGUUAUUCAAUAUAAGUAUAAGAAAAUAUAAUACAGGACACGUAAUGUAGUAUAGGAUAACCUAUAUGGGAUAGGAUAACAUGAUACAGAGAAAUAUAGCGAUUAUGGAUUAAUUGUAAAAUUGUAUGAUUGGACGUGGAGUAUAGAGUGCAGCACAGUGUAGUAUAUAGCACAGUAUACGAAAAUGCAACGCAGUGCAACAUCGUUCGAGCUAAUUUAGUGUUAUGCAACGUGGCAUUGGGCGAUGAAGGUAACGCAACUUAGUGCAGUGGAAUUAAAUUAGAUCAACGUGAUAUAUACGAAACACUAUAGCAUACUGCACAGGGUCUUAAUCAUCGGCACGCAUGACGACAUUCAAUCGAACUUCUGACAAACUUUUUGCGUCCUCGAGUUUCACCCUCAAUGGCGAUCAAGUUUCAGAUGAGAUACGUUUAACAAUGUAUGUAUCGAUGCACAAAUUCUUAUAUUACGCGAGAUAAAAAAAAAGAAAAAAGAAAAUUAACAUGGACCACCUCAAAUUCGAAAAUCCAAAUUUUAUUACGAUAAAUAAUUGACUAAGAUAAAAGAAAACGUGUUCCAGGAAAAUUCGUAUGCAAAUUUCUUUCUUCGAUAAUCUGUUAAUGAGCUCGAAUCAGCGAACGUGUCACUGGAAAAAAAAGAAACAAUGUUACCAACCUGUCACGCUGAUUGAACCAUAACAAAUUUCACGAAGAAAGCCGACGCUCUCGCUUUCUCGUGUUUUUGCCCGAUGAGCGUGUAACAGGAGAAUCGAAUCGGCCGAUACAGUUUCGAGAAGGAGAAGGCUGGGAUCCCUGGGACACGUUUCAUCCCUGGUCCCACAUUUGGGAUCCGCCUCUGUGGGUGGUAGAUGGAAUAAGAACGAGGGAAGAACCCCUUUUCAUCGUCCUCCUCGCUCGCCUACACACAGUCGCUGUACACUGGGUGUUCAUACUGUUGCUUCUUAUUCUUUUUUCUUUGUAAAAGUUUAAUUAUUUUAAGAAUUGUUGACAACCAAUGAGGUAAGUUGAAGAUGGGAUAAUUUUGUAUAUAAUAAUCGAGUUUAUAAUAAAUAUGGCUAAUAAUGGAAGG